rnacentral:rRNA from 1 species
GUGUCAGCAGCCGCGGUAAGACGAACCGUGCGAACGUUAUUCGGAAUCACUGGGCUUAAAGCGCGUGUAGGCGGGUGGGGACGUCGGCAUCUGAAAGCCCCCGGCUCAACCGGGGAAGGGGAUCCGAAACGCCCCAUCUGGAGGGACGUAGGGGGGCCUGGAACUUCCGGUGGAGCGGUGAAAUGCGUUGAGAUCGGAAGGAACGCCCGUGGCGAAAGCGAGGCCCUGGACGUCUGCUGACGCUGAGACGCGAAAGCUAGGGGAGCGAACGGGAUUAGAUACCCUUGUAGUCC